AAGGAUUGCAGUGCAGUUUGGAUCACAAACCAAUUGUAUAACAUUAAAUGAAAAUAAUUGGAGAUUACUGAAGAUCCUAUGCUCCCCUCUCCUUUACUCCUGCACUGAAAUGCACACUAUGUACUUGUCUUUGACUUUUAGUUAUACUAGGGGAUGGAUCAGUGUUCUUGUUCUGUGAUUACUACUUCGUAUUUAUUAUUUAUUACAUUGUCUAUCCAUUUAUCUAUAUAGUUUGAAAUUAGGCUUUCAAUUUUGUUGCACUGUUUUUUUAUGGGGUUUUUAGAUGAUUUUUGGUUUAUUAUGUGUCUUUUAUGGAAUUGUUCUAUUUUGAGGUUGAUGCCUGCCUUACAGAUGCAAAACAUCAUAACUGAUUUAUUCUUUUUAAAACACUUGUUUGUUUCUAAGUAGGGUAGUUUUGGAAACUAGAGUCGGAUAGUGAUUCCAUUUUUCAAAGUGCGUCAAGCAACAUGAGGUGGUUUGUGUAUUGCUCUAUGGUUUAGAAGUACACAAGAGCUGGUUAGUCUGGUAAUUUACACAGCUAUAUUGCAAUGGAUGGCAGAGGGACCUGGCUGAUAAAUGUAGGACAUAAGAGUAUUGAAGUGUGCGUACCUGUGGUAGUGGAUUUGUUGAAUGCAUCCAUAAUUUGUGGCUCCAAUAUUGUUACAAACCCCCAAAUUAUAUGUUUACAGUAGCAUUAAUUGGUGAAAAUGCUUGAAAAACUUUACUAUUGUGUUCACCAAUGACUUAUAAAGCUUGAUUUGUAAUUUCUGAAGCAGGAAUCAAAGAACGUUCCGACCAAAGAAAAGUGCGCCAUCAGGCAGUAAGGUGCUUUUUUUGCUAUACUAAAGAGAUGUGUCCUCCCCCUU
rnacentral:lncRNA from 1 species